UAAGCUUUAUAUAUCAAAAAGCGAUAAAAUCAUAUUCUAUUUAUACAUGCAACAGUUGUAAAAUAUGAAUAAAAUUGAAAAGUUUGUUUAUAAUAUAAUUAUCCUUCUUUCCCUAUUUCUUGUUUCAACAAGCUCUCAAGGUAAAUAAUUUUAUCUCCUUUGCAAAUUUCCUUCCAUUCUUCCUACACAAUAUUUUAUCUCAUUUUAAUAAUAUUAAUUUUUGUUUCUCUUUUUAGAUAUUCGAUGUGUCUUACCAAAACGAAAAAAUAUUCAUUGUCUUCGUAAAGGUGAUUGUCCAUACAAUUUUUGCCCAUAUCCUACAAACACAAAGUGUAUUAAUGGUUUUUGUCAUUGUAGUAAUUAAUUAAUUAAAUAUAAAGCUCUAUAGGUACCUAUGAGUUGUAAUGUAGUUAUUGUGGUAACUAAUAAUUUAAUUUUCUUUUAACUUUUAAAAUUUCAUGAACCUUUUUUGUACUAUAAUAUGAUGCAACAGAAAUGAAAUAACGCAUCAAAGAAUAUUAUUUAUACUCUCGUGUCCAUUUGUCCCUUUUUUUAAUGAAAGAUAGUUGUUGACUAGCAACUGCACUAGUUUAUCGUUCAAGUAGUAAUAAAGAUCGAACCUCGAGGAUUGUGUUAACUAAUACAAUGGCAAAUCGAAUCAUUCUUAGUUAUAAAUACAAAGAUUGGGGGUGUUGCAUAUCACAAUCUUUCAACCACAAAUCAAUUAAAAGCAAAUGAACGUUUUGUUCAAAUUUGAGAAAGUUGCAUUGGAUUUCCUUUGGAUUCUUCAAUUACACGGAAUUGUAACUUUUGUACGUAAAUGAAUCAUUGAAAUCCAAUGUGCA
rnacentral:lncRNA from 1 species